CAGAGGCGGUGCUGGGAGCGAAGGGAGGCUCCGGUCCGCUCUGAGGGCACACGAUGUGACGGAUCCUGGCUCCCUCCGCUCCUCCCGGCGCACACCU
ensembl:miRNA gga-mir-6599 gga-mir-6599